rnacentral:rRNA from 1 species
GAUCAUGGCUCAGAACGAACGCUGGCGGCAUGCCUAACACAUGCAAGUCGAACGGGAUCCUGGCUUCGGCCAGGUGAGAGUGGCGGACGGGUGAGUAACGCGUGGGAACCUGCCCAUUGGUCUGGGAUAACUGCGGGAAACUGCAGCUAAUACCGGAUGUACCCGAGAGGGGAAAGAUUUAUCGCCGAUGGAGGGGCCCGCGUCAGAUUAGGUAGUUGGUGAGGUAACGGCUCACCAAGCCUACGAUCUGUAGCUGGUCUGAGAGGAUGAUCAGCCACACUGGGACUGAGAUACGGCCCAGACUCCUACGGGAGGCAGCAGUGGGGAAUAUUGGACAAUGGGGGCAACCCUGAUCCAGCAAUGCCGCGUGAGUGAUGAAGGCCUUAGGGUUGUAAAGCUCUUUUACCAGGGACGAUGAUGACGGUACCUGGAGAAUAAGCCCCGGCUAACUUCGUG